rnacentral:misc_RNA from 1 species
UCCGGCUUGUCACCGGCAGUUUCCCUAGAGUGCCCAGCCUGACCUGAUGGCAACUAAGGAUGAGGGUUGCGCUCGUUGCGGGACUUAACCCAACAUCUCACGACACGAGCUGACGACAGCCAUGCAGCACCUGUGUGGAAGCCGGCCGAACCGAAGGACGUGGUCUCCCACAUCCAUACUUCCCAAGUCAAGAGCUGGUAAGGUUCUUCGCGUUGCGUCGAAUUAAACCACAUACUCCACCGCUUGUGCGGGCCCCCGUCAAUUCAUUUGAGUUUCAACCUUGCGGCCGUACUCCCCAGGCGGCAUGCUUAGUGCGUUAGCUGCGACACCCAGGGGCUAAGCCCCCAAACGUCUAGCAUGCAUCGUUUACGGCGUGGACUAC